UGAAGAGGACUACAAACCAAGUUAGUGGUGAUAGCAUAACCCUGUCCGUGUGUUCCUGCAAAUGGCAUAAUGAUUUGUUACUAAGGCUUUUGUUCAUUCUUGUUAAAGUAGUGGAUUUAUUGAGCUUUUGUUCAAGCAAUGCUAAGAGAUCGGGCUCUCGAGAAAGGAAUUUACUGAGAAUGAGCAGGCUGAUGAAGUCGCGGAUCCUGGCAACUUCAACACCAGCGUUGCUGAGAAGCAGGCAGUUUUGGAAACUGUUGCUCGAGUUAAGUGAAAAAAGAAUGAAACGAAAGAGGAGAAAUCAUUUCAGUUCCAUGAUAUCUUCCAUUUAGAUAAUGAGAAUCGAGCAGAAGACAGGCCAACAUUAAUUGAUCGAAAGAACAAUGUCUUUAUUAUUUCAAAUCCCAAGUGAAAGUAUCUUGUGCUCCAAUUGGAUUUAAGAUUGAUUUCAGAUCUAGUUGUCGUUAUUGUUUCUGCAGCUUGUGUGGCAUUGCUUUCGCUUGUGCAGGACAACCGGUCUGAUCAUCAUCAUUCUUCUUCUUCAUCCUCUCUCUCUAAAAAGAUUGAAAAACCAAUGUCAUAAUGUGGCACCAUAGCAUUCUUAUUGUAUAGGGCAUGUUUAAUGCACAAAUGAUUUUUGGAAGAGCCCCUAGGAUCAAUGGCCAAUGUGAUAUGCAACUUUGUUAAACAAAGGCGUAUGUGGUGGAAAAAAACUUUAUGUUAUCAUUUAAGCAUAUUAUAUUGAUUUUCACUCCAUGGAAGAACAUUUUUCCCAAAUAAACCAGUGUGCAUUUUAUAAGAGUUAUUUUGCUUAUUUGGGUGUGCUUUCAGUAGAUAUUGUUUAAGAAUGAUUGGAAAGCUAUUUCCCAUCGUUAUCUAAAACUAUUUUCCAGAUAUUUAAAUCUGAUGUUAAAUAUACAAUAGCCGUCUAGUUUUUUAACUUUAUUUCUAAUAGCCUACGAUUUGAUUUCUAAGAAACAUUGCUUUACCUUGAGAGGUUGAGCUUCAGGACAUAAGCCUCUAAAUUCUUUUAAAAGACCUAAAACUUUCUUCUUUGUAAAUAGUGCUUACGGUAUUCUGAAAUCUGAGGUCUUUACCGGAUACCUGUUAGCUGGAUCUCUCAUUAGACCUGGAGGUUUAAGCUUUGUUGGUGAAAUGGUGCAAGUAUGUAACUUUUCUCCCUGAUUAUUUUCUGUUGUAACAUUCUGUUUUAUUAUAAAGCUAAGAGAUAUACUUACUGGAUUUUAGGUAUCGGACAAAAUUUGUAAAUCUAUUACAUUUGGUUCAUAUGCUAACUGUAACAUUAGGCUGUUGUUAUUGAAUGAGUAUGUAUACUUGUCAAAGCAAAAUUUGACUUUUUUCUCAAAUUUUUCUUUUUUUCUUUUUUAAAUUAGUUAUGGAAUAAUGAAUAUUUAAUUGUCUUGAGCAUUAUUAUUGAUUCUUAUAAGUUAUGGUACUAUCAAGAAUUUAUGCUUUUGGAAUCCCCGGAUAUUACCUUAAUAUAUUAGAUUGAUUCACCAGAAUUUAAUCUGUCAUUUACAUAUCCAUUCAGGUUGAGACAGUAGCUAAGUUUGGUGUGAUCUUCCUUGUUUUUGCAUUGGGCCUGGAGUUCUCUACUACAAAAGUCAGCCUAACGUUUCUUCCAGAUGUUUUUUUUUCAACAAUCGCUGGUUUACAACAUAUUUAGACUGUCAAUAAUCUCUCUGUUCUUUUCCAGCUUCGUGUGGUUCGAGCAGUGGCCGUUCUUGGAGGACUGCUUUAGAUUUUCCUUUUUAUGUGCUUGUGUGGAAUUACAGCUUUGGUAUGUCUUACAUGCUGAUGAGAGUUUAUUCCAGCUGUACGGUGAUUUUUUUUGUUUUUAUUUUAAUUAACCUUUCAUUUUAUUUUAUUUUUAAGUUUGUGUAUUUUUGUGCUGUAUCGCCCAAAUGGUCACAUUUUCAAGAUCACAAUUCUGAUUUUGAUUCUUUGUACAGUGCUUUUCAGUAUAGGAUGAAGUUAUCAUACCUCAUGGUUUCGGUUCUUUUUCUUUUUAAUUUUAUUAGUCUUGCAAAUUCAUGUUCUUGAAUAGAUUCAUUUUGUGGAUUUUAGAUAUGUUGAUAAGAUGUUUUUGAAAAUUUCAGCUAUGAAUAUGAACAAGUAUUUGUCAAUGUCACACGUUUAUUAUGCACCUGAGUUAAAAGUAUUCAUCCUAAUUCCUAUAUUGUACACACUUGUUCAAGUGUCUUCAAAUAUGAUUAAGUGUUUUGGGCAACACUAGUAUCUAAUUGUUUCCCAUUUCUGUUGUUGUGCCUCACUUUUUCUCACAUAUCUGCAAAUCUAUUUCUUCUGCUAUCUAUUACUGUUAUUGUCCAAAAUGGUUGCUCGUCAUAUUUUUAAUUACCAUUAUUCUUUUACACAAUCUUUUCAUGGAGAGUACUUGUGAAAUUUUGUGUGCUGCAUGGUGUAUUUCCAGAAAUCCUUUACUGAAACUCAUCAGAGAAACUCUGGAAAUAAGGAAGCAAAUGCUCAAAUUUAGCAUACAUUUCCAAAGGUUUGGAGAGCAAAACAAAGUCCAUUACUGGUUGGUAGAGAAAAAACCCCUCCUUCAGAAUCCCAGGAAAAUAGGUCAUAAACUGAUAUAUAUUUUGAAUAUUGGAGUAUGGAACUUUGAAUGAUUGAAUAUAUAUUUGUAACUUGUAAUCCAUUAGUUAUCAAUAUUACUCUCUGUACUUUUCUUUAA